UCAUACUAGUCUGUUUUACUGGC
rnacentral:piRNA from 1 species